CCCUAGUAACUGCGAGUGAAGCGGGAAAAGCUCAAAUUUAAAAUCUGGCAGCCUUCGGUUGUCCGAGUUGUAACCUAGAGAAGUGUUAUCCGUGUUGGACCGUGUUUAAGUCUCCUGGAAUGGAGCGUCAUAGAGGGUGAGAAUCCCGUCUUUGACACGGACUGCCAAUGCAUUGUGAUGCGCUCUCAAAGAGUCGAGUUGUUUGGGAAUGCAGCUCAAAAUGGGUGGUAAAUUCCAUCUAAAGCUAAAUAUUGGCGAGAGACCGAUAGCGAACAAGUACCGUGAGGGAAAGAUGAAAAGAACUUUGGAAAGAGAGUUAAACAGUACGUGAAAUUGCUGAAAGGGAAACGCUUGAAGUCAGUCGCGUUGGCCAGGAAUCAACCUUGCUUCUGCUGGGUGUACUUUCUGGUCGACGGGUCAGCAUCAAUUUCGACCGUUGGAAAAAGUUCAGGGGAAUGUGGCAUCCUCGGAUGUGUUAUAGCCUCUGUUCGCAUACAACGGUUGGGAUUGAGGAGCUCAGCACGCCGCAAGGCCGGGUUUCGACCACGUACGUGCUUAGGAUGCUGGCAUAAUGGCUUUAAUCGACCCGUCUUGAAACACGGACCAAGGAGUCUAACAUGCCUGCGAGUGUUUGGGUGGAAAACCCGAGCGCGUAAUGAAAGUGAAAGUUGAGAUCCCUGUCGCGGGGAGCAUCGACGCCCGGACCAGACCUCUUGUGACGGUUCUGCGGUAGAGCAUGUAUGUUGGGACCC
rnacentral:rRNA from 1 species